rnacentral:rRNA from 1 species
GACGAACGCUGGCGGCGUGCUUAACACAUGCAAGUCGAACGGAAAGGCCCUGCUUUUGUGGGGUGCUCGAGUGGCGAACGGGUGAGUAACACGUGAGUAACCUGCCCUUGACUUUGGGAUAACUUCAGGAAACUGGGGCUAAUACCGGAUAGGAGCUCCUGCUGCAUGGUGGGGGUUGGAAAGUUUCGGCGGUUGGGGAUGGACUCGCGGCUUAUCAGCUUGUUGGUGGGGUAGUGGCUUACCAAGGCUUUGACGGGUAGCCGGCCUGAGAGGGUGACCGGCAAGAUGGGGAAGGAGAUCGGGCCAAGCCCCAUGGGGGAGGCAGGAGGGGGAAAUUUUGAAAAUGGGGCGGAGGCCUGAGGCAGCAGCGCCGGGUGGGGGAUGAGGGCCUUGGGUUUGAAACCCGUUUCCGCCUGUGACGAAGGGGGAGGGGGGGUAGGGGAUAAAGAAGCCCGGACAAGCUAGUGC